rnacentral:tRNA from 1 species
GAGUCUGUAGCUUAAACGGCUAGAGUCCCGGAUUCCAAAUCCGGUGGAUGCGAGUUCGAAUCCUGCCAGGCUCGCCA